rnacentral:rRNA from 1 species
UACGGGGGAUGCGAGCGUUGUCCGGAUUCACUGGGCGUAAAGGGCGCGUAGGCGGCCCGGUCAGUCGGCGCUCUAAGUGCGGGGCUCAACCCCGUGAUGGCGCCGGGACGGCCGGGCUGGGGCGCGGCAGAGGGAGACGGAAUGCCGGGUGUAGUGGUGAAAUGCGUAGAUAUCGUAAGGAAGACCAGUGGCGAAGGCGUGUCUCUGGACAGUUCCUGACGCUGAGGCACGAAGGUCAGGGGAGCAAACGGG